rnacentral:rRNA from 1 species
GACGAACGCUGGCGGCGUGCCUAGUACAUGCGAGUAGAACGCUGAAGAGAGGAGCUUGCUCUUCUUGGAUGAGUUGCGAACGGGUGAGUAACGCGUAGGUAACCUGCCUUGUAGCGGGGGAUAACUAUUGGAAACGAUAGCUAAUACCGCAUAACAAUGGAUGACACAUGUCAUUUAUUUGAAAGGGGCAAUUGCUCCACUACAAGAUGGACCUGCGUUGUAUUAGCUAGUAGGUGAGGUAAUGGCUCACCUAGGCGACGAUACAUAGCCGACCUGAGAGGGUGAUCGGCCACACUGGGACUGAGACACGGCCCAGACUCCUACGGGAGGCAGCAGUAGGGAAUCUUCGGCAAUGGGGGCAACCCUGACCGAGCAACGCCGCGUGAGUGAAGAAGGUUUUCGGAUCGUAAAGCUCUGUUGUAAGUCAAGAACGGGUGUGAGAGUGGAAAGUUCACACUGUGACGGUAGCUUACCAGAAAGGGACGGCUAACUACGUG